GACGAACGCUGGCGGCGUGCUUAACACAUGCAAGUCGAACGGAAAGGCCCUGCUUUUGUUGGGUGCUCGAUUGGCGAACGGGUGAGUAACACGUGAGUAACCUGCCCUUGACUUUGGGAUAACUUCAGGAAACUGGGGCUAAUACCGGAUAGGAGCUCCUGCUGCAUGUUGUGGGUUGGAAAGUUUCGGCGGUUGGGGAUGGACUCGCGGCUUAUCAGCUGGUUGGGGGGGUAGUUGCUUACCAAGGGUUUGACGGGUAGCCGGCCUGAGAGGGUGACCGGCCACAUUGGGACUGAGGUACGGCCCAGACUCCUACGGGAGGCAGUAGGGGGGAAUAUUGCACAAUGGGCGGAAGCCUGAUGCAGCAACGCCGCGUGCGGGAUGACGGCCUUCGGGUUGUAAACCGCUUUCGACUGUGACGAAGAGUGAGUGACGGUAAUGGGUAAAGAAGCACCGGCUAACUACGUG
rnacentral:rRNA from 1 species